UGAGACAGAGAAAAGUAAGAGAGAGCCAGGAAUCUAGCUCAGCCUGGUGCAGAACUUGUAGGAGACUAGCAAAGAGCCCACAGGCCAGAACCGGGCAAGAAGAGAGUAGUGAGAACCUGUCUCAGGUGUCCUGAUCCUAUUUUGGUGAAGUUGGUAUGCAGGUUCCCUAAUCUACCUGGGUUAGAGGAAGGUCGGAGGUUAUCUGGUGGCAAAUUAAAGCCCAAGUCAAAGUGCUUGCUUGGACAUGAGAGAAUCACCUAGGAGCAAUGUUUCCUUACAAUAGAGUGGUAUUAGAGAAAUGGGCUGUCCAUGUAUUCUGUUCUUUCAAGACUGAUCCAUGUGGUACCAUGAAAGUGCUAGCAGAUGUUUUGGGAAGAAAAUGUGUAGUUCACAUCUGCCUAUACACCAUCUUCUGUAACCUCACUUUGACGAAAUGGGGUUGGAUUGUGGACACUGUCGUCUCUCAUUUAACAGACAUGAGAACAUCACACUUUUGCCUCCAGUUUCCGAAUACCUCUUCUUUUGUCUUCUGUGAUCUCUUCUCCCUUGAGAAAAUUCUAAGUGCAUCAGAGUAA
rnacentral:lncRNA from 1 species